UGCAAUAACCAAGCCAAGCCUAGUUCUCGCUAAUAGGCAUUUGGGAAGAGCAACAUUCUUGGCAAGCAGGUUAGGAAUUAACAAAAACUCAAGGAAGGGCGGUGGACACUGGACAGGGGGAUCUCUAAUUCUCCAUAAAGGCUGUAGAGUAAGUCUCUUUGAUUCUUCGAUUGUUCGGUUUCUGAAUGCUUUUCUACCAUCUAUUCUUCUCUGUUGCUAGUUUCUUUCGACUCUCAGGCUCUUUCACAGUCACAGGUGGUGGUGGUGGUGAGUGGUGACCAUGGUUUUCGUAACUUGCCUCGACAACAAAACCCUAAUUUUAAACGUAAAUCCAAAUUCCACCACGCUUGGGGCCACAAAACUCGUAAUUGAAGAGAAGUGUGGCAUUCCUGCCAAUCUCCAACGCCUCUUCUUGUCGCCGCGACGAUUGAUCGGCGAUGACUCAACGAACAUUUCUGAUCUUGGUGUUCGAUCCAGUUCAACCCUGGCCCUCCUCUCUCCUCUUCUGGGAGGGAUGCAAGCUCCUGUUCCCCCGAAACCCAGGCUAGAAUUCCUUAACUCCAAGCCUCCUCCCAAUUAUGUGGCGGGCCUUGGUCGUGGUGCCACUGGUUUCACCACCCGUUCCGAUAUUGGUCCUGCCAGAGCUGCUCCUGACCUCCCCGACCGGUCUGCCACCACAAUUGGCGGCGCUGCUACUGGUGCUGCCGUUGGUAGGGGAAGGGGGAAAGGUCCUGGGGGUGAGGAGGAGGAAGAGGACGAAGCGGACGAAAAGGGUUAUGAUGAGAAUCAGAAGUUUGAUGAGUUUGAAGGGAACGAUGUCGGGCUUUUUGCUUCUGCAGAGUAUGACGAGGAUGACAAGGAGGCAGAUGCUGUUUGGGAGAGCAUCGAUAAAAGGAUGGACUCUAGGAGGAAGGAUCGAAGAGAAGCUAGGUUGAAGCAGGAGAUCGAGAAGUAUCGAGCUUCUAAUCCUAAGAUCACGGAGCAAUUUGCGGAUUUGAAGAGGAAAUUAUAUUCUUUGUCUGCAGAAGAGUGGGAUAGCAUUCCUGAGAUUGGUGAUUACUCGUUGAGGAAUAAGAAGAAGCGGUUCGAGAGUUUCGUGCCUGUUCCCGAUACGCUACUUGAGAAGGCUAGGCAGGAAAAGGAGCAUGUAACAGCGUUGGAUCCCAAGAGCAGGGCUGCAGGUGGUACAGAGACUCCAUGGGCUCAGACUCCUGUUACUGAUUUAACAGCUGUGGGAGAAGGGAGAGGGACUGUGUUGUCGUUGAAGUUGGAUAGGCUAUCUGAUUCUGUUUCGGGGUUAACGGUUGUGGAUCCCAAGGGUUAUCUCACUGACCUCAAGAGUAUGAAGAUCACAAGUGAUGCUGAAAUUUCGGACAUUAAAAAGGCUAGGUUGCUGCUCAAAUCUGUAACGCAGACGAACCCAAAACACCCUCCAGGAUGGAUUGCAGCCGCAAGACUGGAGGAAGUAGCAGGGAAGCUUCAAGUAGCUAGACAGUUGAUACAGAAAGGUUGUGAGGAGUGCCCCAAGAAUGAGGAUGUAUGGUUGGAAGCAUGUAGGCUGGCUGGUGGCGAGAAUAAUAAAAAUAUGGAAGAAGCUAAGGCCGUGAUCGCCAAGGGUGUGAAGGCUAUCCCGAACUCGGUGAAGCUGUGGAUGCAGGCUGCGAAGCUGGAGGAUAAUGAUAUGAGCAAGAGCAGGGUGUUGAGGAAGGGGCUCGAGCAUAACCCUGAUUCUGUUAGGCUCUGGAAAGCAGUUGUAGAGUUGGCCAAUGAGGAAGAUGCUAGGCUUUUGCUUCAGAGAGCCGUGGAGUGUUGUCCUUUGCAUGUUGAGCUGUGGCUCGCUCUUGCAAGGCUGGAAACUUAUGAUAAUGCAAAGAAGGUUCUUAAUAGGGCAAGAGAGAAACUCUCAAAGGAGCCAGCUAUCUGGAUUACUGCUGCGAAGCUUGAAGAGGCUAAUGGUAAUACUGCUAUGGUUGGGAAGAUAAUAGAGAGAGGUAUCAGGUCCUUGCAAAGGGAAGGAUUGGAGAUCGAUAGAGAAGCCUGGAUGAAAGAGGCUGAAGCUGCAGAAAGAGCUGGAUCUGUGGCGACUUGCCAGGCUAUAAUUCGUAACACCAUUGGCAUUGGUGUUGAGGAAGAAGAUCGAAAGAGGACAUGGGUUGCUGAUGCCGAGGAGUGCAAGAAGAGGGGUUCCAUUGAGACUGCCCGGGCUAUCUAUGCUCAUGCUCUUACUGUGUUCCUAACCAAGAAGAGUAUAUGGCUCAAGGCAGCACAGCUUGAGAAGAGUCAUGGGACCAGAGAAUCUCUUGAUGCUCUACUACGGAAAGCAGUGACAUACAGACCACAGGCUGAGGUCUUAUGGUUGAUGGGUGCCAAAGAGAAGUGGCUUGCUGGAGAUGUUCCUGCUGCCCGAGCUAUUCUCCAGGAAGCCUAUGCUGCCAUUCCUAACUCUGAGGAAAUCUGGCUUGCGGCUUUCAAGCUGGAGUUUGAGAACCAUGAGCCUGAGCGAGCAAGAAUGCUUCUUGCUAAAGCUAGAGAAAGAGGAGGCACAGAAAGGGUGUGGAUGAAAUCAGCCAUUGUUGAGAGAGAAUUGGGGAACACCACAGAGGAGAGGAAAUUGCUUGAAGAGGGGCUGAAACUUUUCCCUUCAUUCUUCAAAUUGUGGCUUAUGCUUGGACAGCUGGAGGAUCGUCUUGGUCGAUUGGAGCAAGCCAAGGAAGCUUAUGAGUCAGGUCUAAAGCAUUGCCCCAGUUGCAUUCCUCUUUGGCUUUCCCUUGCUAAUCUCGAGGAGAAGAUGAAUGGUCUGAGCAAAGCACGAGCGAUUCUUACCAUGGCCAGGAAGAAGAAUCCCCAAAAUCCUGAACUUUGGCUUGCUGCAGUUCGAGCUGAAUUAAGGCAUGGAAAUAAGAAGGAAGCUGAUAUUUUGAUGGCAAAGGGAUUGCAAGAAUGCCCUACCAGUGGUAUCCUGUGGGCAGCGUCAAUUGAGAUGGCCCCACGUCCCCAACGCAAAACAAAAAGUGCUGAUGCACUCAAGCGGUGUGAUCAUGAUCCCCAUGUCAUUGCUGCUGUGGCGAAAUUGUUUUGGCAUGACAGGAAGGUGGAGAAAGCUAGAAACUGGUUGAAUAGGGCAGUAACUCUCGCGCCAGUUAUUGGGGAUUUCUGGGCUUUGUACUACAAGUUUGAGCUUCAGCAUGGAAAUGAAGAGUACCAGAAAGAUGUCUUAAAAAGAUGUAUCGUGGCAGAACCAAAGCAUGGUGAGCGAUGGCAGGUAAUUUCCAAGGCUGUGGAGAAUUCUCACCAGCCAAUAGAAGCCAUCCUAAAGAAAGUUGUGGUUGCCCUGGGAAAGGAGGAGAAUGCUGCUGAGAGUACCAAACACUAGAAUUUCGUCCAAGUAUCCGAAUUUGGAAUUUUCUCUUACCUGGUUAUUCAGUUAAUUGGAACUGUAAAAGUGACUUACUGAAAGAAGUCUGCCUCGCAACGUUUGUUGGAAUCUCUAUCCAUGGGUAUUGUUCUGAUAAUCCUGAUCUUCUUUUGCCAUCUCCAUAGCAGUUGGUUUCUUUUGCUGUAAUUAAUAACAUCCUGGAGUUGUUACCAAUAUUCAAUUGGAUGGAAGUCAUCUGUAUUAGUAAGCAUCUACAGAUCAAAAACUUAUUACAUUCAUACCAGUUUGUUUCUUUGAUUCAUUAAUUGAGAUGAUGUUAAUGAACUAGACUAUUUGUGUA